rnacentral:lncRNA from 1 species
UGUAGCCAGAAAAAGUGGUGAAUCUGAGGUUUUAAAAUAGAGCUCUAUUUCUAAACAUUCUAUGCUCCAGGAAACUAUUGGAGAAACUAGGAAACGGUUCUAGGGCUGGAUUUGAGAAUCCCAUAUGCACGAUUGCAGCACACCAGGGCAUUCCAUGAUCCAACAGCCUUCUCUCCUUCCUGCCUCCACUGAUGCCAACGUGCAGUAACUGCUCAUUAGCAAAGAAACAGGAAGAGGAGGCAAGACCUGCCUCUUUAACCACGUGAAGACACAGGGGAAGGAAGCUGGUGGCCAGCCAGGAAGCGAGCCCCUAUCAGGAAACAAAUCAGUUGGCACUUUGAUUGUGGAAUGCUCAGCCUCCCAAGCGAGAGAAAUUAAAGUCUGCUUUUUAAGCCACUCCAUCUGAUGUUUUGUUAUUACCACCCAAAUUGAUUAAGACCAUGGUCCUCUUCAUUCCUCAUCUGUGCCCAUUUCUUCCUCAGUGUUACACUAGUAAUUAAGAAUACACCUACUUUCUACCUCUCCAUCACUCUGCACACAAGCUGGGCUGUGUAUCAGGGGGCGGAGCCUCUGCUUCCAUGAGCGAUUACAGCUGAUUCUCCAAUUAAUUAUGCAGCAGCCUCUUUGGCUAAUAAAAUCUAAACAAAGAGCUUUUAAUCCAAUACAUCAUUUUUUCUCCAUCCCAAGCAGCCUGUCAAACACAAUCAGAUUCCGCAUGCGAAGCAGAGAGGAGGCAGGCGUCGGCCCCACCUGCUUAGCAGGGUUGUGAGCAGGAAGCUCCGAGUCAGAGAACAGUUGGCUGCACAGAUGGCUGUGAUGGAAGGCUUGGGGGAAUGCCACCCUCUGCUGCAGCAACCCACAGGGGAGGGACCAUUUGGGGGUGGCUGGCAGAGAGACUCUUCCCUGUGCCUCUCACCUAGGCCCCACCAGUGGGUGAGAACUCAAAAAAAGUGGCCUAAAUGUUUACAAAGGGACUCCUAUGUGAUUGACACUUGACAUAUCCAACCUCUACUAAAAAAAAUCAUUAGAAUGGAAACUGGAUUCCCUAUUUUACAAGUAAAAAGAAAGAAGACCUAACAUGUAAAGUAAGUUACUUACGGUGGCACAGCUAGCAAGCAGAACUGUGGAGAUUUGAAUUCCUGUCUUCCAG